AGAUGAGUCCGCGUCCUAUUAGCUUGUUGGUAGGGUAAUGGCCUACCAAGGCUAUGAUGGGUAGCCGGUCUGAGAGGACGGACGGCCACACUGGGACUGAGAUACGGCCCAGACUCCUACGGGAGGCAGCAGUAGGGAAUAUUGCGCAAUGGGCGAAAGCCUGACGCAGCGACACCGUGUGUAGGAUGAAGAUCUUCGGAUUGUAAACUACUGUCAGUUGAAGACGAAGGCAGUAGAGUUAAGAGCUCGAAUGCUGACGGUAUUCAAUUAGGAAGUCUCGGCUAACUCCGUGCCAGCAGCCGCGGUAAGACGGAGGAGGCAAGCAUUGUCCGGAAUUAUUGGGCGUAAAGAACACGUAGGCGGUUUGCCAAGUCAUAUGUGAAAACCUUGGGCUUAACUUAAGGAUUGCAUAUGAUACUGGUAAACUAGAGUAUAGUAGAGGAAAGUGGAAUUCCUGGUGUAGCGGUGAAAUGCGCAGAUAUCAGGAAGAACACCAGUGGCGAAAGCGGCUUUCUGGACUGUUACUGACGCUGAGGUGUGAAAGCUAGGGGAGCGAACAGGAUUAGAUACCCUGGUAGUCCUAGCCGUAAACGUUGGUCACUAGGUGUGGGGAGUUAUCGACGCUCUCUGUGCCGAAGCUAACGCAUUAA
rnacentral:rRNA from 1 species